rnacentral:rRNA from 1 species
UGCGUAGGCGGCUCAGAAAGUAGGGUGUGAAAGCCCUCGGCUCAACCGAGGAAUUGCGCCCUAAACUACUGGGCUUGAGGAACGCAGAGGUAAGCGGAACUUAGGGUGGAGCGGUGAAAUGCGUUGAUAUCCUAAGGAACACCAGGAGCGAAAGCGGCUUACUGGGCGUUUUCUGACGCUGAGGCACGAAAGCUAGGGGAGCGAACGGGAUUAGAUACCCCGGUAGUCCUAGCCGUAAACGAUGAGCACUGGGUUGGAGGGUCCCCCAUAACCUUCUAGCCGUAGCGAAAGUGUUAAGUGCUCCGCCUGGGGAGUAUGGUCGCAAGGCUGAA